UCCUGGCUCAGGACGAACGCUGGCGGUGUGCUUAACACAUGCAAGUGGUGCGACGAACCAGAGCUUGCUCUGGGGCAAAGCCGCGAACGGGUGAGUAACACGUGGGUAAUCUACCCCGAUGACCGGGACAACCCGAGGAAACUCGGGCUAAUACCGGAUGUGGUACGGAGACAUAAGUCUCUUUACUAAAGGUAGCUUCGGCUUCCGCAUUGGGAGGGGCCCGCGGCCCAUUAGCUAGUUGGUGGGGUCAAGGCCUACCAAGGCAACGAUGGGUAGCUGGUCUGAGAGGACGAUCAGCCACACUGGGACUGAGACACGGCCCAGACUCCUACGGGAGGCAGCAGUGGGGAAUCUUGCGCAGUGCGCGAAAGCGUGACGCAGCAACACCGCGUGAGGGAAGACGGCCUUAGGGUUGUAAACCUCUUUCAGAUGGGACGAAGGUGAUGCGGUGAAUAGCCGAUGUCAUUGACGGUACCGUCAGAAGAAGCUCCGGCUAACUACGUG
rnacentral:rRNA from 1 species